rnacentral:sRNA from 1 species
AAGGCACAAAGUGGAAGACAGCGUGGAUCCCCAGGGCACCGUGCUUGGGGAGCAGAUCCCUAGGGACUCGGGCUGGAAUGGAGUGGACUGGGGAAGAUGCGGCCGUGGCUGUCUCAGGCUCCAGGACAGUGAGGAGCAGGCCAGAGCUGCCUUGGCUUGGGAUGGGCAAGACCAUAAGGAUGCCUCAGGGGGACAACAGGGCAGAGUCUCACACUGUCGCCCAGUCUGGAGUGCAUUGGCGCUGUCUUGGCUCACUGCAACCUCCUCAUCCCGGGUUCAAGCAAUUCUCCCACCUCAGCCCCCCGAGUAGCUGGGAUUACAGGUGCACCACGCCCGGCCAAUUUUUGUAUUUUCAGUAGAGACAGGGUUUCACCAUGUUGGCCAGGCUGGUCUCAAACUCCUGGUUUCAAGUGAUCUGCCUGCCUCAGCCUCCCAAAGUGGUGGGAUUACAGGCGUGGGCCACCGUGCCUGGCCCAAAUAAGCAGAAUUUUAAAUUGAGGAAUUAAAUCCCACAGCAGAUGGAGUAGGAGCUGAAGCCACCUGCGGCCCAAUCCCAGUUAUUGGAGAUAAGGUGCAGGCAGGGCA